rnacentral:misc_RNA from 1 species
GAAAUGCGAUAAGUAAUGUGAAUUGAGAAUUCAGUGAAUCAUCGAAUCUUUGAACGCACAUUGCGCCCGCCAGUAUUCUGGCGGGCAUGCCUGUUCGAGCGUCAUUACAACCCUCAGGCCCCCGGGCCUGGCGUUGGGGAUCGGCGGAAGCCCCCUGCGGGCACAACGCCGUCCCCCAAAUACAGUGGCGGUCCCGCCGCAGCUUCCAUUGCGUAGUAGCUAACACCUCGCAACUGGAGAGCGGCGCGGCCACGCCGUAAAACACCCAACUUCUGAAUGUUGACCUCGAAUCAGGUAGGAAUACCCGCUGAACUUAAGC